CCUACGGGGUGCAGCAGUAGGGAAUUUUCGUCAAUGGGCGCAAGCCUGAACGAGCAAUGCCGCGUGAACGAGGAAGGUCUUCGGAUCGUAAAGUUCUGUUGAAGGGGAAAAAGAGCGGAGAGAGGAAAUGGUCUCCGAUUGAUAUUAACCUUCGAGGAAGUCACGGCUAACUACGUGCCAGCAGCCGCGGUAAUACGUAGGUGGCGAGCGUUAUCCGGAAUGAUUGGGCGUAAAGGGUGCGUAGGCGGCCUGCUAAGUCUGGAGUGAAAGGUACCGGCUCAACCGGUACAGGCUCUGGAAACUGGCGGGCUAGAGAGCAGGAGAGGGCGGUGGAACUCCAUGUGUAGCGGGAAAAUGCGUAGAUAUAUGGAAGAACACCAGUGGCGAAGGCGGCCGCCUGGCCUGUUACUGACGCUGAGGCACGAAAGCGUGGGGAGCAAAUAGGAUUAGAUACCCCUGUAGUC
rnacentral:rRNA from 1 species